CGUCGACAUAUUUGAACCCAAGAAGAAGGUUUGAUGCUUGUGAGAAAAAUUGGGUAAGUUAUUAUUUGGGUUGCAAAAGUUAUUUUUUUCCAUUUGUAAUUGCUUGUUGAAGUCUGAAAUUGGGUAAGAUUUGGUUUCCAGAAUAGCAGAAGAGGUAUGCGUUUUUUUGAGUGGGUGGAUAAUGAAACUUGUCCAAGAGGAAAACAAGUGGUCCCUGGUUUGCUUAGAAGACUUAAAGCAAUGGAGGAGGAAGGUAGAGCAAAGGAAGAACAAUUGAGAUCUGUGGAAGCAAAAAAGAAAGAGCUGCAACAAAAAUUGAAAGAAAUGGUUCAGGAAAAAAAGGCAAAACGUCACUUUUGGUCCAUGUGGUUUACCACUUUUACCACUAAGGUCCAUGUGGUUUCAAUUUGAUAUUUUUGCCCCAGGGUUUUUAAUUUAAGCAAUUUCAGUCCAAUCUCCAAUUUCUGUCAAAUUAGGACUUGUUGAGGGGCAUUUAAGUCCAAAAACAAGAAACAAAUUGAAAAUUUUUUUAAAAAAGCAGAAGAUAGGGGAUGAGAACCCGUCAGCCACACAACCAGCCCACACGUCGACCACCACUAUCCGCCAUCUCCUCAACCCGGUACAACUCCACCAUCACCAUCUCUCUCCCUUCUCGUUUUUCUUCUUUUGGAUUCCAAUCUCUUGUUUGUCUUUCUUUCUCUUGAUUGACCAAAAAAAAAAAAAAACUUUUUGUUGAAUUGUUUGUUCUUCAGAGAAUAUCACAACAACAGCCAAACAAUCCAUAUGGGUCAUAUAUCCAUGGCUUUUUCUCUCCCGAGUCUCAUGUUUGUACAAAUCACACGUCUCCCAUCCCAUACAUCAGAAAGCUUUUUUGCACUCAAUAGAUUGAAAAGAUAUGUUAUAAUCAUGCAACCAAGCCAACAAAACUGGAUGAAUACAAAACAACAACAAAAUGGCAAAAAAAAUACAAAAGGCAACGAUUGAAGUGCCCUCAGUUUCCUCUCAUGUCAAAAAAUCAGAAGCUUCACAACGUAAUCAAAGAAAAAGAGAUGAACCCAUCACAGCCCCACCAACAAAUUGAAGACCAGGAUCAGAACGACGACGAAAUAGAAGAAGUCCAGUGCCAAAUAGCAGUCUCCAACUUCCCUGACGGCUUUGAAUAGCAGCCAAGUUCUGCUAU
rnacentral:lncRNA from 1 species